rnacentral:misc_RNA from 1 species
GAUGAAGAACGUAGUGAAAUGCGAUAAGUAAUGCGAAUUGCAGAAUCCGUGAGUCAUCGAAUCUUUGAACGCACAUUGCGCCCCUUGGUUAUUCCGAAGGGCAUGCCUGUACGAGCGUCAUUAUCACCCCUCAAGCCCUGGCUUGGUGUUGGACUUUAGUUAUGGCUUUGCCUAUCAACUGGUCUCAAAGAUAGUGACGGCGCCCCAGAGGGAACCGGGUACGAGGAGCUUUUUACUAAGCAUGUAUCUGGGACGACUCUGAUGGGCGACGGUCUUGUUAUACUUUUUACCUAAGUGUUGACCUCGGAUCAGGUAGGAAUACCCGCUGAACUUAAGCAUAUCAAUAAGCGGAGGA